CAAAAACAUCUUUUCUUGUUAGUUUUUGAAGUAUGGCCUGCCCACUGACUUUGAGUUGAAGGGCCGCGGUAUUUUGACCGUGCAAAGGUAGCAUAGUCAUUAGUUCUUUAAUUGUGAUCUGGUAUGAAUGGCUUGACGAGGCAUGAGCUGUCUUAGGAUAUUAUUUGGUUGAAUUUAGGUUUUGAGUUAAAAUUCUUAGAUGUUUUUAUGGGACGAGAAGACCCUAUAGAGUUUAACAUUUAUUUUGUUUUGUGGUAUGUUUGUUUAGUCUUUGAAAUUUGAUUAAUUGUUUUGUUGGGGUGAUGGGAAGAAUUUAUUUAACUCUUCUUUGUUUUUGUAUAUUUCUUUAUAUUUGUAUGAUCCAUUUAUUAUGAUUAUAAGAUUAAAUUACCUU
rnacentral:rRNA from 1 species